rnacentral:tRNA from 1 species
GCGGGGAUGGCAGAGCCUGGUCAAAUGCGGCAGACUCAAGAUCUGCUUCCUUAGUGGAUACAGGGGUUCAAAUCCUCUUCCCCGCA